GACGAACGCUGGCGGCGUGCUUAACACAUGCAAGUCGAACGGAAAGGCCCUGCUUUUGUGGGGUGCUCGAGUGGCGAACGGGUGAGUAACACGUGAGUAACCUGCCCUUGACUUUGGGAUAACUUCAGGAAACUGGGGCUAAUACCGGAUAGGAGCUCCUGCUGCAUGGUGGGGGUUGGAAAGUUUCGGCGGUUGGGGAUGGACUCGCGGCUUAUCAGCUUGUUGGUGGGGUAGUGGCUUACCAAGGCUUUGACGGGUAGCCGGCCUGAGAGGGUGACCGGCCACAUGGGACCGCGGACACGGCCCGGACUCCUACGGGGGGCAGCGGUGGGGAAUAUUGCACAAGGGGCGGAGGCCGGAUGCAGCAACGCCGGUUGGGGGAGGACGGCCUUCGGGUUGUAAACCGCUUUCGCCUGUGACGAAGCGGGAGGGACGUAAAUGGGUAAAAAGGCACCGGCAAACUACUG
rnacentral:rRNA from 1 species